UCGUUGAAGCUAAAGAGCCUAUUUCAUGUUAUUCAUAGCCAUUUAACGCCCACUACCUCACCGUUAUUUCUUUUCCACUAACUCUCCACCAUCAACACAUGUUUAAUCCAAUUAAUCCCUCACUUAAACCCUUCAUUACCCACCAUGAGUGUAUUAACUUUCCACUCGCCUCAUUGACUACUAUAAAUCACCCAUCAAC
rnacentral:lncRNA from 1 species